ACGCAGCGAAAUGCGAUAAGUAAUGUGAAUUGCAGAAUUCAGUGAAUCAUCGAAUCUUUGAAUGCAUCUUGCGCUCCUUGGUAUUCCGAGGAGCAUGCCUGUUUGAGUGUCAUUA
rnacentral:rRNA from 1 species